AUUGAACGCUGGCGGCAUGCUUUACACAUGCAAGUCGAACGGUAACAGGCCGCCAGGUGCUGACGAGUGGCGAACGGGUGAGUAAUGCAUCGGAACGUGCCCAGUCGUGGGGGAUAACUACUCGAAAGAGUAGCUAAUACCGCAUACGAUCUAUGGAUGAAAGCGGGGGACCGUAAGGCCUCGCGCGAUUGGAUCGGCCGAUGUCAGAUUAGGUAGUUGGUGGGGUAAAGGCUCACCAAGCCAAAGAUCUGUAGCUGGUCUGAGAGGACGACCAGCCACACUGGGACUGAGACACGGCCCAGACUCCUACGGGAGGCAGCAGUGGGGAAUUUUGGACAAUGGGGGCAAGCAUGAUCCAGCAAUGCCGCGUGCAGGAAGAAGGCCUUCGGGUUGUAAACUGCUUUUGUACGGAACGAAACGGCUCUGGUUAAUACCCGGGGCUAAUGACGGUACCGUAAGAAUAAGCACCGGCUAACUACGUG
rnacentral:rRNA from 1 species